rnacentral:rRNA from 2 species
UUGACUGGGGCGGUCUCCUCCUAAAGAGUAACGGAGGAGCACGAAGGUUGGCUAAUCCUGGUCGGACAUCAGGAGGUUAGUGCAAUGGCAUAAGCCAGCUUGACUGCGAGCGUGACGGCGCGAGCAGGUGCGAAAGCAGGUCAUAGUGAUCCGGUGGUUCUGAAUGGAAGGGCCAUCGCUCAACGGAUAAAAGGUACUCCGGGGAUAACAGGCUGAUACCGCCCAAGAGUUCAUAUCGACGGCGGUGUUUGGCACCUCGAUGUCGGCUCAUCACAUCCUGGGGCUGAAGUAGGUCCCAAGGGUAUGGCUGUUCGCCAUUUAAAGUGGUACGCGAGCUGGGUUUAGAACGUCGUGAGACAGUUCGGUCCCUAUCUGCCGUGGGCGCUGGAGAACUGAGGGGGGCUGCUCCUAGUACGAGAGGACCGGAGUGGACGCAUCACUGGUGUUCGGGUUGUCAUGCCAAUGGCACU